GACGAACGCUAGCGGCAGGCUUAAUACAUGCAAGUCGUGGGGCAGCGCAGUGUAGCAAUACAUGGGCGGCGACCGGCAAACGGGUGCGGAACACGUACACAACCUUCCUUCAAAUGGGGAAUAGCCCAGGGAAACUUGGAUUAAUACCCCGUAACAUUAUGAAGUGGCAUCACUUUAUAAUUAUAGCUCCGGCGUUUGGAGAUGGGUGUGCGGCUGAUUAGGUAGUUGGCGGGGAACGGCCCACCAAGCCUUCGAUCAGUAACUGGUGUGAGAGCACGACCAGUCACACGGGCACUGAGACACGGGCCCGACUCCUACGGGAGGCAGCAGUAAGGAAUAUUGGGCAAUGGACGCAAGUCUGACCCAGCCAUGCCGCGUGGAGGAUGAAGGUCCUCUGGAUUUGUAAACUUUCUUUUCUCUGGGGACGAAAAAUAGGUAUUCUUACUUACUUGACAGUACCAGAGGAAUAAGCACCGGCUAACUCCGUGCCAG
rnacentral:rRNA from 1 species